GUGCCAGCAGCCGCGGUAAGACGUAGGGAGCAAGCGUUGUCCGGAUUUACUGGGCGUAAAGGGCGCGUAGGCGGUCUGUUAAGUGUGAAGUGAAAUCUCCAGGGCUCAACCCGGAAACCGCUUCGCAUACUGGCAGACUGGAGGAAGGCAGAGGUAACUGGAAUUCCUGGUGUAGCGGUGAAAUGCGUUGAUAUCAGGAGGAACUCCAAUGGCGAAGGCAGGUUACUGGGCCUUAUCUGACGCUGAGGCGCGAAAGCGUGGGUAGCAAACAGGAUUAGAAACCCUGGUAGUCC
rnacentral:rRNA from 1 species